rnacentral:rRNA from 1 species
CGGCAAGACCUCUCACUAUUGGAGCGGCCGAUAUCGGAUUAGCUAGUUGGUGGGGUAAAGGCCUACCAAGGCGACGAUCCGUAGCUGGUUUGAGAGGACGACCAGCCACACUGGGACUGAGACACGGCCCAGACUCCUACGGGAGGCAGCAGUGGGGAAUUUUGGACAAUGGGGGCAACCCUGAUCCAGCCAUCCCGCGUGUGCGAUGAAGGCCUUCGGGUUGUAAAGCACUUUUUGGCAGGGAAGAAACGGCGCUGGUUAAUACCUGGCGUCACUGACGGUACCUGCAGAAUAAGCACCGGCUAACUACGUGCC